CCAAGCCGACGAUCUGUAGCUGGUCUGAGAGGACGACCAGCCACACUGGAACUGAGACACGGUCCAGACUCCUACGGGAGGCAGCAGUGGGGAAUUUUGGACAAUGGGCGAAAGCCUGAUCCAGCAAUGCCGCGUGCAGGAUGAAGGCCUUAGGGUUGUAAACUGCUUUUGUACGGAACGAAACGGUCUCUUCUAAUACGAGGGGCUAAUGACGGUACCGUAAGAAUAAGCACCGGCUAACUACGUGCCAGCAGCCGCGGUAAUACGUAGGGUGCGAGCGUUAAUCGGAAUUACUGGGCGUAAAGCGUGCGCAGGCGGUUAUAUAAGACAGAUGUGAAAUCCCCGGGCUCAACCUGGGACCUGCAUUUGUGACUGUAUAGCUAGAGUACGGUAGAGGGGGAUGGAAUUCCGCGUGUAGCAGUGAAAUGCGUAGAUAUGCGGAGGAACACCGAUGGCGAAGGCAAUCCCCUGGACCUGUACUGACGCUCAUGCACGAAAGCGUGGGGAGCAAACAGGAUUAGAUACCCUGGUAGUCCACGCCCUAAACGAUGUCAACUGGUUGUUGGGUCUUCACUGACUCAGUAACGAAGCUAACGCGUGAAGUUGACCGCCUGGGGAGUACGGCCGCAAGGUUG
rnacentral:rRNA from 1 species